CCCUUAGACGUUCUGGGCCGCACGCGCGCUACACUGACCAGUGCAACAAGCAUCCGUCCUUGGCCGACAGGCCCGGGCAAUCUUUGAACGCUGGUCGUGAUGGGGAUAGACUUUUGCAAUUUUUGGUCUUCAACGAGGAAUUCCUAGUAAACGCAAGUCAUCAACUUGCAUUGAUUACGUCCCUGCCCUUUGUACACACCGCCCGUCGCACCUACCGAUUGAAUGGUCCGGUGAAAUCUUCGGAUCUGAGAGAUGUCUGAUUAAUUUCGGACGCCUUUUGGAAAAGUUGUUUAAACCUUACCAUUUAGAGGAAGGUGAAGUCGUANCA
rnacentral:rRNA from 1 species